UACGAAGGGGGCUAGCGUUGCUCGGAAUUACUGGGCGUAAAGCGCACGUAGGCGGAUUGUUAAGUCGGGGGUGAAAUCCUGGAGCUCAACUCCAGAACUGCCUUCGAUACUGGCGAUCUCGAGUUCGGGAGAGGUGAGUGGAACUGCGAGUGUAGAGGUGAAAUUCGUAGAUAUUCGCAAGAACACCAGUGGCGAAGGCGGCAUCCUGGACCGAUACUGACACUGAGGAGCGAAAGCCAGGGGAGCAAACGGG
rnacentral:rRNA from 1 species